rnacentral:rRNA from 1 species
UGGGGGAUAUUGCACAAUGGGGGGAACCCUGAUGCAGCGACGCCGCGUGAGUGAAGAAGUAAUUCGUUAUGUAAAGCUCUAUCAGCAGGGAAGAAAAUGACGGUACCUGACUAAGAAGCCCCGGCUAACUACGUGCCAGCAGCCGCGGUAAUACGUAGGGGGCAAGCGUUAUCCGGAUUUACUGGGUGUAAAGGGAGCGUAGACGGCGGUGCAAGCCAGAUGUGAAAGCCCGGGGCUCAACCCCGGGACUGCAUUUGGAACUGUAUAGCUGGAGUGUCGGAGAGGCAGGCGGAAUUCCUAGUGUAGCGGUGAAAUGCGUAGAUAUUAGGAGGAACACCAGUGGCGAAGGCGGCCUGCUGGACAGUAACUGACGUUGAGGUUCGAAAGCGUGGGGAGCAAACAGGAUUUAGAUACCC